CCCGCAACGAGCGCAACCCCUGCAUCCAGUUGCCAUUGGGCGGAGCCGGGCGACUCUGGAGGGACGUGCCGGCGACAAGCCGGAGGAAGGUGGGGAUGACGUCAAGUCAUCAUGGCCCUUAUGUCCAGGGCGACACACGUGCUACAAUGGCCGGCACAGCGGGAAGCGGAGGGGCGGACCCUGAGCGGAUCCCUUGAAAGCCGGUCCCAGUUCGGAUUGCAGUCUGCAACUCGACUGCAUGAAGUUGGAAUCGCUAGUAAUCGCGGAUCAGCCAAGCCGCGGUGAAUACGUUCCCGGGCCUU
rnacentral:rRNA from 1 species